rnacentral:rRNA from 1 species
AGCUCUCCGAGUGGUGUGGAUGUUUAUUGGGCCUAAAGCAUCCGUAGCUGGCUAAGUUAGUCCCUUGUUAAAUCCAACGAAUUAAUCGUUGGAUUGCGGGGGAUACUGCUUGGCUAGGGGACGAGAGAGGCAGACGGUAUUUCCGGGGUAGGGGUGAAAUCCUAUAAUCCCGGGAAGACCACCAGUGGCGAAGGCUGUCUGCUAGAACGCGCCCGACGGUGAGGGAUGAAAGCUGGGGGAGCGAACC